rnacentral:lncRNA from 13 species
UGGAGCAAACUCUGCAAUCAAGACAUAGAACAGUCGAAUGAAAACAAACAAACAAACAAACAAACAAAAAAAGACCCAGCCAGGCACAGUAGCUCAUGUCUGUAAUCCCAGCACUUUGAAAGGCCAAGGAAGGCCAAUCACCUAAGGUCAGGAGUUCAAGAUCUGCCUGAUCAACAUGGAGAAACCCUGUGUCUACUAAAAAUACAAAAUUAGCUGGGUGUGGUGGCACAUGCCUUUAAUCCAAGCUACUUGAGAGACUGAGGCAGGAGAAUUGCUUCAACCCAGCAGGUGGCAGUUGCAGUGAACUGGGAUCAUGCCACUGCACUCCAGCCUGGGCAACAAGAGUGAAACCCCAUCUCAAAAAUAAAAAAAGACCCAGGGACUUCCACCAAGAUGGGUGAAUAGGAACAGCUCCGGUCUGCAGUUCCCAGCAAGAGCAUGCCAGAAGACGAGUGAUCUCAGUGUUUCCAACUGAGGUAUCAGGUUCAUCUCAUUCAGAAUGGUUAGACAGUAGGAACAGCCCAAAGUGGGCAAUCCAAAGCAGGAUGGGGCAUUGCCUCAUCCAGGAGACACAAGGGGCCAGAGAACUCUCUCUCCCAGCUAAGGGAAGCCAUUAGGGACUUUUCUGGACACUCUGGCACUCCAGCUCAGAUACCAUGCUUUUCCCAUGGUCUACACAACCCACAGACCAGGAGAUUCCCUCUGGUGCCUACAAUGCCAGCAUCUGGGUUUCUAGCACAAAACUGGGCUGCAGUUUUAGUAACAUGGCACCUGGAACACCAGCAAGACAGAACUGCUCAUUCCCUCUGAAAAAGGGGGCUGAAGCCAGGAAGCCAAGCUAGCUGGCUCAGCAGGUCCCACCCCCACGAACACUGGCAAGCUAAAAUCCAUGGGCUUGAAAUUCUCACAACCAGCACAGCAGUCUGAGCUCAACCUGGGAUGUUUAAGGUUGGUGGGGGCAGGGAGGGGGGCUUCUGCCAUUGCUGAAGCUCUGGUAGGUGGUUUCAACAUUGUCUAUGUCAACAAAGCCACAAGGAAGUUUACACAGCAGCUUAGCAGAGCCCAGCAUCUGGGAAAAAGGGCAGUUGUGGGUUCCACUUCAAGAGACUUAAACAUCCCUGCCUGGCAGUCCUGAAGAAACCAAUGGAUCCCCCAGCACAGUGCUUGAGCUCCAUUAGGGGACAGCCUGUCUCCUCAAGUGGCUCCCUGAUCUCCCAUGUAUCCUAACUGGGAGGCAUGUCAUACAGGAGAGCUCAGGCUGAUAUCUGGCAGGUACCCUUUUAGGAUGAAGCUACCAGAGGAAGGAACAGGCAAUAAUCUUUGCUGUUCAGCAGCUCCCGCAGGUGAUUCCCAGGCAAGCAGGGACUGGAGUGGACCUCCAGCAAACCUCAGCAGACCUGCAGCAGAGGGGCCUGACUGUUAGAAGGAAAACUAAAAAACAGAAAGAAAUAGCUUCAACAUCAACAGAAAGGACAUCCACUCAGAAACCCAAUCCAAAAGCCAUGAACUUCAAAGACCAAAGGUAGAUAAAUCCACAAAGAUGGAAAGAAACCAGCACAAAAAUGCUGAAAUCAUCAAAAACCAGAAUGUUUCUUCUCCUCCAAGGGAUCACAACCCCUCACCAGCAAGAGAACAAAACAGGAUGGAGAAAGAGUGUUAUGAACCGACAGAAGCAGGCUUCUGACAGAAGCAGGCUUCAGAAGGUGGGUAAUAACAAACUUCUCCAAGCUAAAGGAGCAUGUUCUAACCCAAUGCAAGGAACCUAAGAACCUUGAAAAAAGGUAGACAAAAUGCUAACAAGAAUAACCAGCAUAGGGAAAAACAUAAACGACACAAUGGAGCUGAAAAACACAGCAUAAGAACUUCGUGAAGCAUAUACAAGCUUCAAUAGCCAAAUCGAUCAAGUGGAAGAAAGGACAUCAAAGAUUGAAGAUCAUAUCAAUGAAAUAAAGUGAGAAGG